CGGACGGGUGAGUAAUGUCUGGGAAACUGCCUGAUGGAGGGGGAUAACUACUGGAAACGGUAGCUAAUACCGCAUAACGUCGCAAGACCAAAGUGGGGGACCUUCGGGCCUCUUGCCAUCGGAUGUGCCCAGAUGGGAUUAGCUAGUAGGUGGGGUAACGGCUCACCUAGGCGACGAUCCCUAGCUGGUCUGAGAGGAUGACCAGCCACACUGGAACUGAGACACGGUCCAG
rnacentral:rRNA from 1 species